GCACUGCGGAGGAGUCCCAUACUAGGACGAAACGGCUGUCCAGUGC
rnacentral:hammerhead_ribozyme from 1 species